rnacentral:rRNA from 1 species
AAAUCGGGCCCCUCGGGGUCCGAGUUGUAAUUUGUAGAGGAUGCUUUUGGUGAGGUGCCGCCCGAGUUCCCUGGAACGGGACGCCACAGAGGGUGAGAGCCCCGUCUGGCUGGCCACCGAGCCUCUGUAAAGCUCCUUCGACGAGUCGAGUAGUUUGGGAAUGCUGCUCAAAAUGGGAGGUAUAUGUCUUCUAAAGCUAAAUAUUGGCCAGAGACCGAUAGCGCACAAGUAGAGUGAUCGAAAGAUGAAAAGCACCUUGAAAAGAGGGUUAAAUAGUACGUGAAAUUGUUGAAAGGGAAGCGCUUGUGACCAGACUUGGGCGCGGCGGAUCAUCCGGGGUUCUCUCCGGUGCACUUCGACGCGUCCAGGCCAGCAUCAGUUCGUCGCGGGGGAAAAAGGCUUCGGGAACGUGGCUCCCUCGGGAGUGUUAUAGCCCGUUGCAUAAUACCCUGCUUUGGACUGAGGACCGCGCAUCUGCAAGGAUGCUGGCGUAAUGGUCACCAGCGACCCGUCUUGAAACACGGACCAAGGA